CCUUCUGUUUAUUCCGUUUGAGGUUUACCGAACUUAUUCUAAAUGUGGGGGUGGGGGCACUUUCUAGGCCCUUUAGUCUUUCCAAGGAAGUAAUUUCUUAUGGUUAAAAACAGAGCUCUGCUUCUCUACAUGAGUUCUAACAGUGGCUAUCUCUUGCUUUUGCGGCAGGUAUUCAUGAAAAGGGAGGGGAUGCGGCAGGCAGGCGUUGCCGGUAGGGAUCCUGCCUGCCUCCGGGAUCUCAGAGUUCAGAGUUGCUGAGCGCUGGAAGGACUGAAGGACCUCUGGGGUCAGAAAGCAGCUCAGACCUCUGGAAAAGCGAGCCUCAGGGGCAAUCUGCCAAGCGCAGGGCCCAGGGGAGGGACUCCCCACGCCCAGCCCCGGAAGAGCAGCCUGCUGCCCGGGUUCAGGCAGGACUCCCCGCUCGGCAGGUUGGGGCUCGCCUGUACGCACACCUCCAGGACCACGGGAGCCAGAGGAUACCUGUCAUCCUCUGCAGUGGCCUUCUGCCUGUUGUCCCUGGGGGCAUCUCUGCAGAGACUCAGUGGGAAGACAGUGUCACAGGUGAGAGCCACGGGGGAUCGCUGCUCUGCGACGCCACAGCCCCUGGCUCCUCACGGAAGCAAACGAAGCAAAAUGCUGCUGUUGGCCGUGGGUGAGAAUUCCUGAGCCCCUCAGUGCUGAGAGAUUAAGGGACCUGCCAAGAUGCUCCAGUUACAAGGCCCCCACCUGCUGAAGAUGUUAGAGAAGUCCUUGAGGACGAGUCUCCCUGAGUCCUUAAAGGCAGCUGCGUUGUGUCUGCAGAACCCAGGAGGAAGGGGGGGCUCAGGUAGACGACCUGACCAGGCUCAUCAUGCCAGCAGUGAGUGGCGACGCAGUGGCUGGAGCCCAUCAUCAUCUUUGCUGUGUGAUGACGCCAAA